rnacentral:rRNA from 1 species
AACGUAGGUGGCAAGGGUUAUCCGGAUUUACUGGGCGUAAAGCGUGUGCAGCCGGGGCAUCAAGUGGGGUUUGAAAUCGCCCGGCUCAACCGGGCGGGGUUAUGCCAGACUGGUGUGCUAGAGACAGAGAGAGGGACGUGGAAUUCCGGGUGUAGUGGUGAAAUGCGUAGAGAUCCGGAGGAACCCCUGAGGCGAAGGCGGCGUCCUGGCUCUGGUCUGACGUUCAGACACGACAGCAUGGGGAGCGAACGGG